rnacentral:rRNA from 1 species
CUCCUACGGGAGGCAGCAGUGGGGAAUAUUGGACAAUGGGGGAAACUCUGAUCCAGCCAUGCCGCGUGAGUGAUGAAGGCCUUAGGGUUGUAAAGCUCUUUGAGUGGGGAAGAUAAUGACGGUACCCACAGAACAAGCCCCGGCUAACUUCGUGCCAGCAGCCGCGGUAAUACGGGGGGGGCUAGCGUUGUUCGGAAUUACUGGGCGUAAAGCGCGCGUAGGCGGUCAUGCAAGUCAGGGGUGAAAUCCCAGAGCUUAACUCUGGAACUGCCUUUGAAACUGCAUGGCUAGAAUAUGAGAGGGGAUAGCGGAAUUGCUAAUGUAGAGGUGAAAUUCGUAGAUAUUAGCAGGAACACCGGUGGCGAAGGCGGCUAUCUGGCUCAUUAUUGACGCUCUGGCGCGAAAGCGUGGGGAUCAAACAGGAUUAGAUACCCUGGUAGUCCACGCUGUAAACGAUGAGUGCUAGCCGUUAGGAUCUUAGAUCUUAGUGGCGCAGCUAACGCAUUAAGC